rnacentral:rRNA from 1 species
UACGAAGGGGGCUAGCGUUGCUCGGAAUCACUGGGCGUAAAGGGUGCGUAGGCGGGUCUUUAAGUCAGGGGUGAAAUCCUGGAGCUCAACUCCAGAACUGCCUUUGAUACUGAAGAUCUUGAGUUCGGGAGAGGUGAGUGGAACUGCGAGUGUAGAGGUGAAAUUCGUAGAUAUUCGCAAGAACACCAGUGGCGAAGGCGGCUCACUGGCCCGAUACUGACGCUGAUGUGCGAAAGCGUGGGGAGCAAACAGG